rnacentral:rRNA from 1 species
CCUACGGGGGGCAGCAGUGGGGAAUAUUGCGCAAUGGGCGAAAGCCUGACGCAGCGACGCCGCGUGAGGGAUGAAGGUCUUCGGAUCGUAAACCUCUGUUAGCAGGGAAGAACGGUUACUGUGCUAAUCAGCAGUGAACUGACGGUACCUGCAAAGGAAGCACCGGCUAACUCUGUGCCAGCAGCCGCGGUAAUACGGAGGGCGCGAGCGUUAUCCGGAAUUAUUGGGCGUAAAGCGUUCGUAGGCGGUAUGUCAAGUCAGGGGUGAAAUCCCCGCGCUCAACGUGGGAACUGCCUUUGAAACUAGCAAACUAGAGUGAGUGAGAGGAUAGUGGAAUUCCAGGUGUAGGGGUGAAAUCCGUAGAUAUAUGGAAGAACAUCAGUGGCGAAGGCGACUAUCUGGGACAAAACUGACGCUGAGGAGCGAAAGCGUGGGUAGCAAACAGGAUUAGAUACCCGUGUAGUC